AUGAACGCUGGCGGCGUGCCUAAUACAUGCAAGUCGAGCGAACGGACGAGAAGCUUGCUUCUCUGAUGUUAGCGGCGGACGGGUGAGUAACACGUGGAUAACCUACCUAUAAGACUGGGAUAACUUCGGGAAACCGUAGCUAAUACCGGAUAAUAUUUUGAACCGCAUGGUUCAAAAGUGAAAGACGGUCUUGCUGUCACUUAUAGAUGGAUCCGCGCUGCAUUAGCUAGUUGGUAAGGUAACGGCUUACCAAGGCAACGAUGCAUAGCCGACCUGAGAGGGUGAUAGGCCACACUGGAACUGAGACACGGUCCAGACUCCUACGGGAGGCAGCAGUAGGGAAUCUUCCGCAAUGGGCGAAAGCCUGACGGAGCAACGCCGCGUGAGUGAUGAAGGUCUUCGGAUCGUAAAACUCUGUUAUUAGGGAAGAACAUAUGUGUAAGUAACUGUGCACAUCUUGACGGUACCUAAUCAGAAAGCCACGGCUAACUACGUG
rnacentral:rRNA from 1 species